AAAACCUGAGUGAUGUUUCACAAGAAAUUCCUCAUAAUGCUCCAAAGCUGAGAGCUGUGAUGUAAUCCAGAGGAAAUCUGAGACGUCAUGGCGGUGUCGUGGUUCUCCUGCAGUUUCUCUUUCUCUCUCUCUGAGGGAUGAUGAAGAUGAUGAUGUAUCAGAGUGAGUACUUUAUCCUCAGUAUUGUGAGAUGCUGGAGAGGAAAAACACAGCAGGAGCGAGGAGUUAAAAAUUCACAGAGAGCUGCGAUGUUUCUGAGAGAGCUCUGCUAGCAGUUUGCUUCCCCUCUUUCUCGCUCUAUUUCUUUUCCUUUUCCUCAGUCUGUAUAUCUCUCCCACUCUCUCAUCUCUGCAUCCACAGGCCUGAAAUCACAUCAUCUAUGUACAAAUGGUAUCUUCUGCUGUGUCCCAAAGGUGCCGCCUUUUAUCCGAGCUUCCAAUCCAUGUGUUUUUUAUUAUUAAUUCUUUCCAGUUCCUCAGGAGCGUCCUAAUUUUCCAAGGAAGAGAGACGAGGCAAGGCGAGGAAGAGGAACAAGCGACGAGGCGGAGAUGCUUUGCUCGCUUGCUGGCGAAAGCAGAAAAACGUGGCCUUCAUCCAGGACUUUUAUAGAUCUCGGAAGUGUAGCAGCUGAAUGCCAGGUCAGCUUAUCCUUCAGGCUGUGAUGCAGUUUUCUGUACAGGACAGAAGAUUUGAGGUGGUCAAGGUGAAGAACAGAUUGCCAGAAGUCAAGGACAGAAUGCCUCCGAAGCCUGAUCCCAGAGAUCACCAAAGUUCAUCUAAGGUGCUUUGUUUUUAAAAUCAAUAUUAUAUUUAUUACUUUCACACAGUGAACGCUUGCCAACUGGUGUUUAUAACAAGUUUAUUACAACAACUCUGAGUUUGGACAAACAAUUUCUAGCAAGUUAGGACACUAAAGUUCUAGCCAAAGGAGCUUGGGUUAGCACAUCAACUUUCUAACAAAUGAUCCUAUAAAUAAAGGUGCUAAAUGUUUUAGAAAUAAACCUUAAGUUAAUGCACUAAAUUUCUAGAAUUAUACCUUAAGGUUGUUGUUGUUGAGCUUUCGGCUGCUCCGGGAAAUGAUAGCAAUGUACACUAGAUUAGCACACUUCAUUUUCUGAAUUCAGACAUUCAACUGAUAAAAAUUUAAAAUGCUUUAUUUAUAGUGACUGAAUUUAAGAUAGAUUUAUGUUUAUGUAAAUGUUUUUUUGUGUAUUUGGUCCUGAGGUAUGAGCUCUGGUUUUAUCAAUCAGACAAUAGUAAAUUCUUACGAAUUCUUAUGACACGCUUACAGCAAACGAUUCUACAAUUUCUAGCAAUAGACCCUAAGCAGGCAAAUUCUAGCAAUUGAUUCUUAAUUAGGAACACUAGAUGGUCCCUAAUUUCUAGUUUAAGGUUAAGUCACUACAUUCAUAGCCAUGGACACUACACUAAAUAUAUAGUACAGUGUAUACUGUUAACACGCUACAUACCACCUUAAAGUGCACACUAGCCGGGGACACUAAAGUGAUGCUUUAAUGACAUCAGGGACACUAAUGAAUAGAUCGUGAUGCUCAUUAAAGCACAAAAGGCCAGGAAAGACACUGAGUAAUGAGGAGUAAUGAGCACUGAAUGUAGAAUUCCUUUAAAUCAAUGGAUUAAAAGUUAAGACACUAAAUUCAUAGCCAGGUUUGUGGCUCUAAUCUAGAUCAUUCUGUAGACCAAGCUUGGACCAAGAACCUUUUAUAAGACUGUUAAACAACGUUUUACCUGCAAAGGUGUGUCUCGUUUACCUUUACAGCUUUACUCACUGGAAUUUAAGUCGUUUUUUAAAUGUCACUAUAUACACAAGGGAAGGUCCACUUUUUCUCUCUGAGUGACCAGACAGUAAAUUAGAACAUUUCCUGGCAUUAGAUACAACAACAACACACUUCUUGGACUGGACACUGUGUUUGGAAGCUACAUAAUGAUGUAAUCUGUUCACGUUUAAUUGUUCAAAUCUAAUCCAGGUGUGUGUGUGUGUGUGUGUGUGUGUGUGAGAGAGAGAGAGAGAGAGAGAGAGCGAGAGAGAGAAGGGCUUUGCACAAUAUCUUGCUAUGUGCUUAAAGAUCUCUGUGAGAUGGUUCUGCUGCUUUCGUCUUCCACCAAAUGUUGCGUUUGUUUUGGAAUUAUGUAACUGAACCCGUGUCCUGCUGUAAUACAGUAUAAAACCUUAAAUACACAGAGCCGGAGAGUCUCUCAGCUCCACUCUGCCAUCUAGCGUCGGCUACCACACACACACACCCACACACACACACACACACACACACACACCAAGAGUGUGUAAGGAUCACAGCCGUCUGAUCAUGACGGUGACCUAAUA